rnacentral:rRNA from 1 species
AAUGGCCGCAGUAUAUUAACUGUGCAAAGGUAGCAUAAUCNUUAGUCUUUUAAUUGAAGGCUGGAAUGAAUGGUUGGACGAAAUAUUGACUGUUUCAGAUAAAUUUAUUAUAGAAUUUUAUUUUUUAGUCAAAAAGCUAAAAUUUAUUUAAAAGACGAGAAGACCCUAUAAAUCUUUAUAUAUUUCUGUAUUUAAAUUAUAAAGAAUUUUUUUAUUCAAAUAUAAAAAUAUAUUUUAUUGGGGUGAUAUUAAAAUUUAAUAAACUUUUAAUUUUAUUAAACAUUAAUUUAUGAAUAAUUGAUCCAAUUUUAUUGAUUAAAAAUUUAAGUUACUUUAGGGAUAACAGCGUAAUUUUUUUGGAGAGUUCUUAUCGAUAAAAAAGAUUGCGACCUCGAUGUUGGAUUAAGAGAUAUAUUUAGGUGUAGCCGCUUAAAUGUUAAGUCUGUUCGACUUUUAAAUUCUUACGUGAUCUGCCUGCCCACUGAAUUUAAUGGCCGCAGUAUAUUAACUGUGCAAAGGUAGCAUAAUCNUUAGUCUUUUAAUUGAAGGCUGGAAUGAAUGGUUGGACGAAAUAUUGACUGUUUCAGAUAAAUUUAUUAUAGAAUUUUAUUUUUUAGUCAAAAAGCUAAAAUUUAUUUAAAAGACGAGAAGACCCUAUAAAUCUUUAUAUAUUUCUGUAUUUAAAUUAUAAAGAAUUUUUUUAUUCAAAUAUAAAAAUAUAUUUUAUUGGGGUGAUAUUAAAAUUUAAUAAACUUUUAAUUUUAUUAAACAUUAAUUUAUGAAUAAUUGAUCCAAUUUUAUUGAUUAAAAAUUUAAGUUACUUUAGGGAUAACAGCGUAAUUUUUUUGGAGAGUUCUUAUCGAUAAAAAAGAUUGCGACCUCGAUGUU